rnacentral:rRNA from 1 species
GACGUAGGGCGCGAGCGUUGUCCGGAAUUACUGGGCGUAAAGAGCUCGUAGGUGGUUUGUCGCGUUGUUCGUGAAAACUCACAGCUCAACUGUGGGCGUGCGGGCGAUACGGGCAGACUGGAGUACUGCAGGGGAGACUGGAAUUCCUGGUGUAGCGGUGGAAUGCGCAGAUAUCAGGAGGAACACCGGUGGCGAAGGCGGGUCUCUGGGCAGUAACUGACGCUGAGGAGCGAAAGCGUGGGGGAGCGAACAGG